UACGGGAGGCAGCAGUGGGGAAUAUUGCACAAUGGGCGCAAGCCUGAUGCAGCCAUGCCGCGUGUAUGAAGAAGGCCUUCGGGUUGUAAAGUACUUUCAGUCGUGAGGAAGGUGUUAAGGUUAAUAACCUUAGCAAUUGACGUUAGCGACAGAAGAAGCACCGGCUAACUCCGUGCCAGCAGCCGCGGUAAUACGGAGGGUGCGAGCGUUAAUCGGAAUUACUGGGCGUAAAGGGCACGCAGGCGGUUAAUUAAGUUGGAUGUGAAAUCCCCGGGCUUAAACCUGGGAAUGGCAUUCAAGACUGGUUAGCUAGAGUCUUGUAGAGGGGGUAGAAUUCCAUGUGUAGCGGUGAAAUGCGUAGAGAUGUGGAGGAAUACCGGUGGGCGAAGGCGGCCCCUGGGACAAAGGACUGACGCUCAUGUGCGAAAGCGUGGGGAGCAAACAGGGAUUAGAUACC
rnacentral:rRNA from 1 species